GACGAACGCUGGCGGCGUGCUUAACACAUGCAAGUCGAACGGAAAGGCCCUGCUUUUGUGGGGUGCUCGAGUGGCGAACGGGUGAGUAACACGUGAGUAACCUGCCCUUGACUUUGGGAUAACUUCAGGAAACUGGGGCUAAUACCGGAUAGGAGCUCCUGCUGCAUGGUGGGGGUUGGAAAGUUUCGGCGGUUGGGGAUGGACUCGCGGCUUAUCAGCUUGUUGGUGGGGUAGUGGCUUACCAAGGCUUUGACGGGCAGCCGGCCUGAGAGGGUGACCGGCCACAGGGGGACUGAGAUACGGCCCAGACUCCUACGGGGGGCAGCAGUGGAGAAUAGUGCACAAUGGGCGGAAGCCUGAUGGAGCAACGCCGCGUGCGGGAUGACGGCCUUCGUGUUGUAAACCGCUUUCGCCUGUGACGAAGCGUUAGUAACGGAAAUAGGUAAAGAAGCACCGGCUAACUACGG
rnacentral:rRNA from 1 species